CUGCAGUGAAUAAUUCUUCUGAGGCUGUUCUGUCAUCUUAGAUGUGAAGACUUCUACUGCAGCUUGGGGUUUUAUCUCAUGGAUAUGGAUUUUUAACAUUAACAGCAGUUUUAUUCAAAUAUGUCUGUUGAGAAGAUUGUUCAGAUGACAGCAUUUCUCUCUCUUCCAUAUAAGACAGCCCCUCAACAAAGGGCAUGGGAUUUUGUACUGACGUUUUUCAUCGUGUUGGGACUACCACAGUGAUACAUUCUUCAUUAGGCGCUGCUUUUGUUCCAGCCACCUGUUUGUAUGUGAAUGGUGCAGACAUGGGUAUAUCUUGAGGAUGGACUAACAGAUGAAAUUGCCUUGGAAAGAAUAACAAAUUGGAUUUCUUCAACUGGAUAUUUCACAUCAAAAGUCCAGAUGAGUCUAUAGUGUAUUUCUUAAGACGUUAAGAUACUUUCCACUACCAAAGGAUAUUGUCAGAAGGCUGAAUGAAGUGGAGACCCCAUUAACUUUUGGGAAUCCUAUCCGUCUCACGGUCAAACCAAAAGAUGUACCGGCAACUCCUCCAUUUCUGUCCAUCUUGUCCCCUUUGAAGGGCGAUGGACGGGAUAUUUGUCUGGCCGCCGGGUUCUUUCCUGAAGAAAAGACUAUGACUUUGACUGUGAAAGGUAAAGACCCUGUGAGCCUUACAACCAGAGAAGCACCCUUGUUUAAAUCGACCAAAACCUAUUAUUAUGCUGGAUUCAGUGAAGAUGAUAAAGUGCAAACAUGCGAAAUGGAUGGACAAACAGCAGACAAAACUCUUGACACUGCUGACACGACAGAAAACCCCGAAAGAGUGACUGAACAGACUUGUCCAACUAGUCUUAGUGCUGAUGCCUUAGAGUUCAUAAACACUGGUGAUCCAAAAAUGAACUCCAUGAAUCUUCUUGUGACAGGUCUGAGAAUUCUGCUUGCUAAAUGUGUCGCAGUUAAUGCAUUGAUGACUGUGAAGGCAUUCAUAUUUUAAAAGUUCAGUUCAGCCAAAUCAUUGGAAUAAUCAAAAAUUGUAACUUUGCUCAUCAAGGCUGCAUUUAUUUGAUCAAAAAUAUAGGAAACAUUUAAUAUUGUGAAAUAUUAUUAUGAUGUAAAAUACAAUUUUUCUAUUUUAAUAUACAUUAAAAUAUAAUUUAUUUCUGU